AUUGAACGCUGGCGGCAGGCCUAACACAUGCAAGUCGAGCGGAUGAAGGGAGCUUGCUCCUGGAUUCAGCGGCGGACGGGUGAGUAAUGCCUAGGAAUCUGCCUGGUAGUGGGGGACAACGUUUCGAAAGGAACGCUAAUACCGCAUACGUCCUACGGGAGAAAGCAGGGGACCUUCGGGCCUUGCGCUAUCAGAUGAGCCGAGGUCGGAUUAGCUAGUUGGUGAGGUAAUGGCUCACCAAGGCGACGAUCCGUAACUGGUCUGAGAGGAUGAUCAGUCACACUGGAACUGAGACACGGUCCAGACUCCUACGGGAGGCAGCAGUGGGGAAUAUUGGACAAUGGGCGAAAGCCUGAUCCAGCCAUGCCGCGUGUGUGAAGAAGGUCUUCGGAUUGUAAAGCACUUUAGGUUGGGAGGAAGGGUUGUAGAUUAAUACUCUGCAAUUUUGACGUUACCGACAGAAUAAGCACCGGCUAACUCUGUGCCAGCAGCCGCGGUAACAC
rnacentral:rRNA from 1 species